GAUCAUGGCUCAGGAUGAACGCUAGCUACAGGCUUAACACACGCAAGUCGAGGGGCAGCAUGGUCUUAGCUUGCUAAGGCCGAUGGCGACCGGCGCACGGGUGAGUAACGCGUAUCCAACCUGCCUUACACUCUUGGACAGCCCUCUGAAAGGGAGAUUAAUACAAGAUGUUAUCAUGAGUAAGCAUUUUCGCAUGAUUAAAGGUUUACCGGUGUAAGAUGGGGAUGCGUU
rnacentral:rRNA from 1 species